rnacentral:tRNA from 12 species
GCGGGAUUGGCGGAAUUGGCAGACGCGCUAGACUUAGGAUCUAGUGAGAUUUUCUCGUGAAGGUUCAACUCCUUUAUCCCGCACCA